ensembl:lncRNA
GACUCCUCUCCUUGUGUCCUUUCCUUCACUACCAUUCAACAUGCUCUGUCCCAACACUUCCAAAUAGACUCCUCUCCUUGUGUCCUUUCCUUCACUACCAUUCAACAUGCUCUGUCCCAACACUUCCAAAUAGACUCCUCUCCUUGUGUCUUUUCCUUCACUACCAUUCAACAUGCUCUGUCCCAACACUUCCAAAUAGACUCCUCUCCUUGUGUCUUUUCCUUCACUACCAGUCACUAUCACUGUUGUUGUAUAAUAAAUAAGAGGUUAAAAAAAUGGAAAGAGAAACAUCUUGCAUUUCACCUAUCAGGAUCUUUCAGAUGAGUGGUGUUGUGUGGGUAAAGGACAGGAAGUGAUUUGGAAGAAUUGAGUCAUAUUUCCAUUGCGGUACCUACAGAGUCUGGAAUUAGCGAUAAUUGAUUUGAAUGGCUUUUUAGUGUCUAGUUUUUCUAAUGUUUUCUCCUCUACAGUUCCACUGUCUGUCUGUUCUGUUUGAAAAGGGAAAUGCUGAUUCUGUCUUAACUCUUCUGUGUGUGUGGGGGGGUUGUUUUGUUGUUGUACUUCCUCAACAGCCCUGAUUCUGACUCCUCAUAUGUUGUAAUCUCUUUUGAGUUUUGUGCUCGAUAUUAACCUUUGCCUCUUCACUCCUCAGCGUACACUCUGAGCCAUCGGGCUUAAAAUGGUCUAUAUUUCUAAUCUCCAGCCAAUGUUAUGGGGAAUCAAAGCAGAUCCAGAAGUUGCUUGUCCUUCUACAGGUCCAGGGGCGGGUUCAUGACCCCUGUCUGUCUUUGUAAAGCAAUAACGACUAGUUUGGCUGAAAAAAAUGGAUAGCAUUAUUAUAGUUAUGAUUUAGAAUCUCCUUGUGGAUGUCUGAAAUCGCACCUUAUUUCCUAUAUAUAGUGCACGACUUUUGACCGCAUGGUAGUGCACUAAAUAGGGAAUAGGGUGCGAUUUCGGACUCAAACGCCUGGUUUUGUUGUCAUCAGGAAUGUUUCCUGUUUCCCCCCCGGGGGACCUGGAGGAUUCUAAUUGGUUCGUUCAGUAGUUGGAGGAGGGGUUUGUAUGUAAAUAACUGUCUGCUUUUGUACUGUGAUGUUUCAUUUGAGUAUCUUAUAUCAGCGGUGUCUGAUUUCACUGUGCCUUUCAUUCAAAGGUUGUAUUUACAACUUUUAGUGGGUUUAAAUAUUAAAAUAUAUAUAUAUAUAUAUCUAUACUUACCUGAUGUUGUUGUUUCUGUCAGUCCAUUACCUCCUCAUGUUGUCACUGCAGGUGUUUUGUGUUUUUGACUGCAGCCCUUUAUAACGUAUGUAUGACUGUCGCUCUGGGGCCUGACUGUCGCUCUGGGGCAUGACUGUCGCUCUGGGGCCUGACUGUCGCUCUGGGGCCUGACUGUCGCUC